rnacentral:rRNA from 1 species
UACGUAGGGGGCUAGCGUUGUCCGGAAUCAUUGGGCGUAAAGAGCGUGUAGGCGGUCCGGUAAGUCCGCUGUGAAAGUCGGGGGCUCAACCCUCGAAUGCCGGUGGAUACUGUCGGGCUAGAGUGCGGAAGAGGCGAGUGGAAUUCCUGGUGUAGCGGUGAAAUGCGCAGAUAUCGAGAGGAACACCUGCGGCGAAGGCGGGUAGCUGGGCCGACACUGACGCUGAGGCGCGAAAGCCAGGGGAGCGAACGGG